GCACCAGUGGAGUAGAAGUCUAACUCAUUUCCCUCCCAUUCUCCCAUAGACAAGGAAGGAAAAGACCUGGGUGCAAGUCCCGGCUGGUGCA